GAAGACUUCUGUCGAGUCGGAUUAAAAGUGAUGUGUGUAUUACGAUAUAGGGUGAGAGUGAGUGAGAGGACUAGUUUGUUGUUUUACCAUGCUGGAUGACUCAGAUUCAGUGGCAGUGGAAAGUUCUCUGUAUAGUUAAAUUUACUUACUAUGAUAAUUUGUAUCAACUACUUUACGCAACUUAAUUUUGCAUGAAUCCAUAUAUUUUCAACAUGUCUCCUUCAA
ensembl:ncRNA T02E9.27 ncRNA